UUGACCAUUGGCAGGACGUCCGAAAUCGGGCAGACAACCAGUCAGUAAAAAUUAAGAAGAAAAAAUGGGUAACACUCUGUACCACGGAGUGGCCAAUAUUGGCCCACCCUCGGAGUUGAAUGGCCCCCAGGAGAGUCCCUCCAUCUCUCUCUCUAAUCUGCAAAGUCAGAGAUUGUCUUUCAGCCAGGGCCGCAUGGCCAUCCAGAUCAUGGCUUUUAACCUUUCAGGACCUCUGCGAAUCUCCUCCUGCAUGGGUGGGGUCCGCGCAGUCCUCCGGGAGGAUUCCACCCGGUGGUAUGGCGGAUCUGUC
rnacentral:lncRNA from 1 species